UUUACCUUAGAGCCAUUAGCAAGUGACGGAGGUGCCCAUAUCCAAUGCCCUGGGAAAGCAGAUCUCCCUGCAGGUAGCAUAUAAAUUAUAUGUAAGUAGUCAAAUGGAAAAUGUGCAGAAAAUUCAAUGGUUGUCAACAAACAGAAAGAGAUGCCUGAAUUUUUUAGUUACCUGUAGGUGGUUCUUUUUCAAAGAAAUGUAAAGAACUUAAUAUUUUUUAAGGUCCGUAUUCAGCUUUUCCACUAAUGGAAAUACAAAUAUAAUAAAAUAAUUUUAUUGACUGUUAGGCACUCUAUUUAUCUUAACACAUUUAUUUUCUAUUUCCAUUAGAUAACACUGUGUAAAUAAGUGCUUUUAUUUUAUGCAGGAAAAAAGGAUUUUAGAGCCUAAGUGACUUGGUGGAGCUCAUACUAUUUCAAAGUUAGUGAAUCUGAGGUGACAUAAGAGCUUACCCUCUAAGGACCUCAUACAGAAUUUGCUAUAGAAUCACAAAAUCUAAAUGAUUUCUAUUGAUCAAUUUGUACAAUGUGUUGACAUAUAUCACUGACAAAAGUAUCCUUUUAAGUCAUUUCUAAAUAGCACCUUGUGGGGAAGAGCUCAUGGAAAUUUUCACUCUGUUCCAUGAAAAUCCAUUGCCCUUCCUUGCAUUUUGAGUGAAUCUAUGACUCAUGAUUAUGUAACAUCAUUCCUAGUUUGGGAAAGGGAGCAGAGAGCUUCCAGGAUUACCCUAAAUGAUCCCCAUCUCUGUUGUAUGCAGAAACAAAGACUUCUGACCCCAAACCCAAAGUUGAAACUUGCAUGUGUAAGGAUUCCAGCACACAGGGAAUCCCAGCCUGCUCUGGUUGUUAUGUUGAUCAAAGGGCAUUGACAAGAAAGACUGGGUCGCUGAAAAUUCAGAUGGAGGUAAAGGGCAGACUCCCAAAGCUGGGAGCAGAUCCAGCUUCUUGAACAUGGGACCUGGGCAGUUACACAGCACCCCGCUCUACCAAGGAAGCCUGCCCUUGGUUUAAUGCUGGGCCCUCGCUGUCUUGAAAUUCACAGUAGUUUAAUCUUUGUCCUUGUCCUUUAUAAGUGAACCCCAGGAGUGGGAGGAGCAAGGGCCUGAGCAGAGAGAUGCAUGGGGCAGCAGGACACAGGCAGGAGAGCUUGCAGGCUUGGGGUCUGGAUCACAGCAGGAGGCCUGUGCUCUGAGCAGUGGGCAGGGCCACCUGGGGUCUGUGCCUGCUUUGGACUAGCUGGGGCUUCGAUGUCAGCAAAGGGCUUAGUAAAUUCUGUCGGGAAAUUACUACAGAAGGAAAGUGUUUACGUGGACAUUUCAAUAAAGCUGUUUGGCAGUUUCUUAUACAACUAAACAUACUCUUACCGAGGCUUCCUGAGUAUUUACCCAAAGGGGUUGAAAACUUAUGUCCACACACACUUGUACACAGUUGUUUUAUGGCAGUUUAUUCAUAUUUGCCAAAACUUGGAAGUAAGAAGCAUGCCCUUCAAUAGGUGAAUGAACAAAUAAUUGGUGGUCUAUCUAGGAGGUAUCAAGCCAUGGAGAGGGGAAACUUAUAUGCAUUUUACUAAGUGAGAGCAGCCAAUCCAAAAAUGCUACUUAUGACACGAUUCUGAUUCUAUGAUAUUCUGGAUAAUGCAAAACUGCGAGGUAGUUAAAAAAUUGGCCAAAAUAUCUAUCUCUGGAAAGAAGGAAAUUUGUCCAAAGAAGAGUUUGAGAAUUCUUAUUUUAUGGGGAAUGGGUAAGAGAAUGGAAAAUUCUCUGAAUCAAGAAGUUUUCGAAAAUAAAAACAAUUUUAUAUAUGCACAUAUAUUUAUAUAUUGACUUGAUGAUCUUCACCGUAGCUCUCUUUAAAUCUUCGUGGUGGGAGAGGAGGAUGAAGACGGGUUUAUUCUUUGUCAUUUCAGAGGAUUCAUGAGUAGGAAUCACAGGAAAGGGACUUCUACUCUUAGAAAUAAGGUAGUCUUCAUUCCCAGAGACGUUUUCCCCUGGUCGGUUCUUUAGGACCAGUUUCCUGUGGGUACCAUUUCUGGAGCACAUGGAAUAUUUAUGCUUCCCUGGAUUUAUUCUCACAGAGGUCAUCAGAAAUUUCCAGAAAUUAAUGUGAAUGAGAAAGGGGUAUUGGCAGAGGGAGAUAAUUCUGGAAACCCAAGGACUGGAGAACGUUAUCAAUGAGUGUCAGGGAAAGAACACUGUAGUGGUGUUUGGGAGAAAUCUGAUGGCAUAUGGAACAUGAAAAGUGUUGCCAGGAAGUGGGAAGCAUGACAGGCCAGAUGGUAACACUGAAGAGGAAAUCGUCCUGGGGCUACGAGUCAGUAAUUGCACUGGAGGACAUGUUGUCCAUUUUGAUUGGAGAAAAUGUAAUCACCUCAAGUGUAAAGUUACAAACGGUUAUAUUUUCUGAGUUUGCAUCUUGAUGUUUUCUCAGAAUUUCUACUCUUUCAAUACUUCGCAUUAUAUAAGACACACAACAUUCAAAAAGAUUUCUUAAAUCAUGUCAGAUUUCUCUAUGCAAAUUAUUCAAACUUUCGGUCAAAAAGUUUCCUAUUGUUGACAUAGUAAUAACUGAUGGAAGUUACUCCCCUGCUCUCUUGUCAUUAACAUUCUGUCCUUUAAUUUUUGGCACAAUCAUCUUAACUUACAAGGAAGAUUCCACAUUUUGACUAUUGGUAUUGUCAGUCCUCUGGAAAUAAAAUAGCAAGGUCAUGAGCAAGACCAAGUAGGAGGAGCAGAGUCUGAGGUAAGAGACAUUUGAAAUAUCAAAUGAUGCUCUCUCUCUAACUCUAAUCCUUGGCUUCCAUGUUCCUUUUAGAAAUAGUUUUUCUCCAUAACACACCAUUGAGGACAGUAGAUUUGGCAGAAAGGGAAGGUUUUCUAUUUUCUUUGUUGAAGGGAGUAAAUCCUGAUUCCUUCCUGAUGUCAGACACGUGCACCAGGCCCAUCACGGAACAAACAGCGAUAGCAUCUACCUCUCUCCAGCUGACUAUCAGUGACUCAGUGGUGCGCAGAGGUAUAAAUCUUGAUCUCCACAUCCUCACUGGGCACUCCAUCUCUGAUCUAACAUAUAAUUUGCUUGACUGAUUGCCGCCUUGCUGCAGGUGAGCCCCUCCCCUCGGAGGCACAGGUGAGGAGAAGAGCGUUUCCCGGUGAGAUCAGUAGCGCUGUGACCACAAGACGGUAGUGCGCCUGCGCGGACGCAGAACACGUGGAGGGCUCGUUUCCGUGUAUCUGGUGCACUAGACUGUGGCAGGAGCAGGGCCUUUUUCUCAUUGGCUGGGGGACCAUGUGGGAAAGUACUCUGUUAGAGGAAGGGGUUGGCCUGACAAGAGCAGGAGCUGAGCCGGCUGGAGGCUGCAGUUGUGAAGCUGGUCUAACGGGGAGGAGCCAUGAGGACACCCAGGGGAGCUUUAAUCGUGUUCUCGUGGCUGCAGCUGAGCUGGUUCAGCCGAGGAGAGACUGUGGAGCAGCGGCCUUCGAACCUGAGUGUGCGACAGGAACGCAGCUCUGUCAUCAACUGCAGCUAUUCAGACAGUGCCUCAGAGUACUUCCCUUGGUAUAAGCAAGAGCUAGGAAAAGGUCCCCGGCUCCUUAUAGACAUUCGUUCAAGCAUGGUCAAAAAAGAAGACCAAAGGCUCACUGUCUUACUGAACCGGACGGCCAGACAUCUGUCCCUGCACAUCGCAGACACGCAGCCUGAAGACUCAGCUGUGGACUUCUGCGCGGCAAGCACACACUGCUCCCCAGACACCUGCUGCCUGUGCUCAAACCUGCCAGCGGGGCAGCCCCUGGCCUUUGACACAGACCUUCCAGGAGAGCGUUUGUCCUUUAUUGGUCUGCAAGUGGAAGCUAAUGUGUUAGAUGUUAAAAGCAUAUAUAAGGCUAUUAGGAUGGAGAUGCCACAGACAGGGUUACAACACUUUGUUGGAUGACUGUUGUUUAAUGGAUUUUUGAGUGGAGUUAGUAAUGUUUUAUUCUGAAAUUCAGUUUUUAAAGAACUCUACAUUUGCUAUUAAGACUCGUCUCCUAUUAAUAACCCUUUAGUACCAACACUACACUCCUUUUUAUGGAUGGGCACUUAAAUAUUGUGUUUCAAAAUCAUUUUUUAUUUUUGUGAUUCUUAAACAUUACAUGCCAAAUAUAGAAAUAUAGAAAGUGCAAAUCUGAAAGUGAUAAUUCUGUAACCAUAUAAUAUUGCUAAUAUUCCUUUGGUCACUAAAUAUUUGUGUUGUAAUCAGAUUCAUGAUAUUUUCACUUUAUGUAUUUUGAUUUGAGCAUUUCCCAGUUCAUCAAUUCUUUACCUCAAAGUGCUUCCUUGUUUUAAUUUCAUUUUUAAGUUUUGAUUUAACAUGUGCUUUAAAACAGCUGAGUUAUUUUGAUUAAUUACAUAUUCAAAUAAUUUUCUUCUUUCUCAAUGGUGCCUAAUUUGACAGACAUUUCUAUGUACUUUGAUCCUUUUCUUGUUCAGAAACUGUGUCAUGGGUCUUCCCUAGAGCCCAGGGAUGGGAUGUACUAUUUGUGUGUUUGAGGGAAAUUAAGAUCAGGAGUCAGUUGACAAUGGGAGCUUCAGAUAAAACUCAGAAAUCUAUUCUUGUUUAUAAAAUUCUGUAAAUAUCUAUUUGCAAUAACUCUCUCAUACAACUUAAGAGACAGAAUUCUACAUUCAUUCACUGCUAUAUUUGCAGUACCUAGCACAAACUUUUCCACGUAAUCGAUUAUAGUAGAGGUUUGUUAAAGAAAGAAGGAAUGGUCAAUUCUGCUACUCACUCAUAGUUUUAUUUAAGUUUGAUUUUUGAAUUAAAUUUAUAAAUUGAUUUGUGAAAAAUGAAGGACCUUAUGUGUAUAUCUGAUUAUUUUAUUGUUUUAGGACAUACUCUUUCAUUCCAUUUAUAUGUCUCUCUUAAUAAAGCUCUGUUGUUUUAAGAUAAUUCAAUUUAUUGCAGGGCUUGUAAUUUUUUGUCAUCCCUGUCAUGAAAACCUUUCUUUCUGAGAUAUAUGGUAAAACCUUUAUAUGCAUGUAUGAGCCACCUUACUAUUAUUAGUAGAUUUCACGAAGGCAUUUGGACUAAUGGCUAAUGUAGAGAUGAUGGGCUGCCAAUCUCCCUGCCACAUGUUCGCAUUUCAUUGAAUUAAACAUUACUAGCCACAACCUUCUUUUUAAAAAGCUUACUUCUCAACAAAAACUUAAUAUGUACUAUAUUCAG